GGCUAUAUCGCCUCGUGUUUGUGCUUCUCUCGGAAUCUUGCACCUUUUCGCUCCUUCCUUUGCCAGUGCAUUUCAUUUUUAUUUAUUCGUUGACUCGCGUCUGCGUUCAUGGGGGCCGUGGCAGUGAAAUAAUCUUUUUUUUUUCCUUUCUUUCUUUUUGGCGCCGUCCCGCCGCAGACUGCCACAUUGCUUACGAAGUUAGACGAGUUAUUAUACGCAGUCGUCAACGGCCGAUGUUUAGUGUGACAAUGUGGGUCAGCGCCUAAGAAAUGACUUUUCCGUGGUGAUUCCGGCGAGGUAAUGCGAAGACUGCAUUAACAGUUACGAAAAUAGAACAUGACCCGGGACUACGAUUUAAACCACGUUCACCUCAUUUCAAAGUGUUGUUCAGCCGGUCACUCGACACGCGUCCUGCCUCUUCGAAGAUCGAAGUGCAACUGAUGGUGGUACGAAGGAGGGCACCAUCAGUUGCGUUAUAUAUAUAUAU